rnacentral:rRNA from 1 species
AUUGAACGCUGGCGGCAGGCCUAACACAUGCAAGUCGAGCGGGGUUUUCGGACCUAGCGGCGGACGGGUGAGUAAUGCGUAGGAAGCUACCCGAUAGAGGGGGAUACCAGUUGGAAACGACUGUUAAUACCGCAUAAUGUCUACGGACCAAAGUGUGGGACCUUCGGGCCACAUGCUAUCGGAUGCGCCUACGUGGGAUUAGGUAGUUGGUGAGGUAAUGGCGCACCAAGGCGACGAUCCCUAGCUGGUUUGAGAGGAUGAUCAGCCACACUGGAACUGCGACACGGUCCAGACUCCUACGGGAGGCAGCAGUGGGGAAUAUUGGACAAUGGGCGCAAGCCUGAUCCAGCCAUGCCGCGUGCGUGAAGAAGGCCUUCGGGUUGUAAAGCACUUUCAGUAGGGAGGAAGCGUUGUGUGUUAAUAGUACACAGCGUUGACGUUACCUACAGAAGAAGCACCGGCUAACUCUGUGCCAGCCGCCGCCGUAAAAC